UACGUAGGGUGCGAGCGUUGUCCGGAAUUAUUGGGCGUAAAGAGCUCGUAGGCGGUGUGUCACGUCGGCCGUGAAAACCUGCAGCUUAACUGUGGGCGUGCGGUCGAUACGGGCAUCACUGGAGUUCGGCAGGGGAGACUGGAAUUCCUGGUGUUGCGGUGAAAUGCGCAGAUAUCAGGAGGAACACCGGUGGCGAAGGCGGGUCUCUGGGCCGAUACUGACGCUGAGGAGCGAAAGCGUGGGGAGCAAACAGG
rnacentral:rRNA from 1 species